CCUACGGGUGGCAGCAGUGAGGAAUAUUGGUCAAUGGGCGGGAGCCUGAACCAGCCAAGUCGCGUGAAGGAAGAAGGUACUUAGUAUUGUAAACUUCUUUUGUCGGGGAACAAAGGCGGAGACGCGUCUCCGGAUGAGUGUACCCGAAGAAAAAGCAUCGGCUAACUCCGUGCCAGCAGCCGCGGUAAUACGGAGGAUGCGAGCGUUAUCCGGAUUUAUGGGGUUUAACGGGUGCGCAGGCGGGAGAUCAAGUCAGCGGUAAAAUGUCGGGGCUCAACCCCGGCCGGCCGUUGAAACUGGUUGUCUAGAGUUGGAGAGAAGGAUGCGGAAUUCGUGGUGUAGCGGUGAAAUGCAUAGAUAUCACGAAGAACUCCGAUUGCGAAGGCAGCAUACCGGCUCCAUACUGACGCUGAGGCACGAAAGCGUGGGGAGCGAACAGGAUUAGAUACCCGAGUAGUC
rnacentral:rRNA from 1 species